CAGCAGCCGCCGCGGUAAAACAGAGGGUGCGAGCGUUAAUCGGAUUUACUGGGCGUAAAGCGUGCGUAGGCGGCUUCUUAAGUCGGAUGUGAAAUCCCUGAGCUUAACUUAGGAAUUGCAUUCGAUACUGGGAAGCUAGAGUAUGGGAGAGGAUGGUAGAAUUCCAGGUGUAGCGGUGAAAUGCGUAGAGAUCUGGAGGAAUACCGAUGGCGAAGGCAGCCAUCUGGCCUAAUACUGACGCUGAGGUACGAAAGCAUGGGGAGCAAACAGGAUUAGAUACCCCAGUAGUCCCUGUCUCUAUACA
rnacentral:rRNA from 1 species